CAAAAUUUAAGCGAUGAACAUAAAUGUAAUAAAACACAGAUAACUACUACAGAUUUAAAUGAUGUCCAUGUUACAGAUUCAAACGAAUUGAUAAAAAACAUAGAUUUAAUUGAUUUCAGUUUAGACACAUGUAAUUAUUAUACUAAUUUUGAUUAUAAAGUUAAACCUGAAAAUACAUUUCUUCGUAUAAUUAAGACAAAUAAAAAUUCAAAAAAAAACACUUGUGCAAAUAUUACUUGCGUAGAAGAAAACAAUCCUAUUGGUAUUAUCAAUAGCAAUUUAUUAGGGGAAAAAAAUAAUAUAAUCAAUAUGCCAUCUACAGAAAAAAAUAUUGUUAUAAACACUGCUAAUCAGGAAAAAAAUCAGUACACACAUUGUACAUAUAAUAGUAGAAACGCUGAUAUUUAUAAUUAUAGUAGUCAGGAUACAAUUGGUCAUAAUUACCAACACACACAUAUGAAUAACGCAACAACAAAUAUUGCAACUUCAGGCGUUACAAAUGCGUCAGCAAUUGUUGAUAAUAAUAAUCAAACAAAUGGUAAUAAUAACAACAAUAGUAAUGGUAGCAGUAAGGACGGUGACAAUGUUAAUAAUACUUCAGUUUUGUGUGCACCAAACCAUUUAUACAAUGAUGACAUAAAUAAAAAACAACAUAACAAUUAUAAUAAAAAGGAAGACAUAAGUAAUAAUUAUAAUGAUAAUAAAAAUAAUUAUCCGUUAAACAAAAUGGAGAUGAUAUCUACUUCUAGUACUGCAACUUAUACUGAACUUGUUGCUGCCAGUAAUAACACAAGUCAUACUAAUAUUAGUUAUAAGGAAAGGAGCAAUGAUAUUAAUAAAAAUAAUAAUAAUAAUAAUAAUAAUAAUAAUAAUAAUACAGGUAAUAAUAAUAAUAAUAAUGAUAAUAAUAAUACAGGUAAUAAUAAUAAUAAUAAUACAGGUAAUAAUAAUAAUAAUAAUAAUAAUGAUAAUAAUGGCUUGUCAAUUGCCUACAACAACCAUUUUAAUAAUGGUUAUAAAAAUAAUGAUUAUAACAGUAUUUGUAAUAAUGGUAACCUAAGUGGUAGCACUGUUCAUUUGGAUAAGAAGAAAACAAACAAAUAUACUAAUAAUAAUACUAAUACGAACGAGAACACAAACGCAAACACAAACGCGAGCACAAACGCGAGCACAAACGCGAGCACAAACGCAAGCACAAACGCGAGCACAAACGCGAGCACAAACAUAAAUACAAGUACAAACACAAAUACAAGCACAGAUACAAACACAAAUAUAAGUACAAACACAAAUACAAACACAAACACAAANNNNNNNNNNAUAAGUACAAACACAAAUACAAACACAAACACAAACACAAACACAAACACAAACAUAAAUACAAGCACAAAUACAAACACAAAUACAAGCACAAACACAAACACAAACAAAAACACAAACACAAAUACAAGUACAAACACAAACACAAACACAAACACAAAUACAAGUACAAACACAAAUACAAACACAAGUACAAACACAAAUACAAACACAAACACAAACACAAACAUAAAUACAAGCACAAAUACAAACACAAACACAAACACAAACAACAAUGAUAAUUUAAACACAUAUAAUAACCACAAUAUAAAUAAUUAUAAUGAUUCAUAUAAUAAUUAUUAUCAUAGUAAAUAUAUUAAGAACAAUAAUGCUAAUUCAAAUAUUAAUAACCGUGAUAAAUAUAAAAACGAUAAUAAUCAGAACAAUAGCAAUAACAAUUAUAACAAUAAUAGCAAUAAUAACACACAUUAUUUAUUAAACGGAACUACUAAUGAAAAUUCUAAAACGUAUACAAAUAUUAUGACUAGCGAACAUAAAAACGAAAACAACACAAACAGUGCUCCAAUGGGUAGUAAAAGAAAUGAUUAUAAUGUUAAUAAUAAUAAUAACAAUAGUAAUAAUAAUAACUAUUAUACCCCUAAUAAAUGUUAUAAUAAUUACGACACAUUUAAAAAUUAUAAUACAAUAAAAAAUAAUUAUAAUUAUAAUAUGGAAAAUUACGAACGUACAAAAAAAAAAACAGAAAACAAUAUGGACUAUUUAAAUAAUACAACGGUUAACAGAUAUUAUGUGAGUAAUAAUAACAAAAAAAAUAUGAAUUAUAUGAAGAAGUAUUUAGAGGGUAAUGAAAAGAGCUACAGUUAUAACAACAGAUUAUAUGCUAAUAUGAAUGAUGACUCGCAUUUUAACGAAAGUAAUAACACGAACCGAUGUUAUAAUUAUAACAAUAAUAUUAAUUAUAAUAGUACCAAUGUUAACAAUGUUGUUACAAAUCGUAGUUAUAACCAUAUUAGUAAUGUUAAUAGCGUUAGUAGUAUUAGUAAGAACCAUAAUAAUAAAAUUAGUAACAACAUUAGUAACAACAUUAGUAAUAACUUCAGUAACAACUUUAGUAACAACUUUAGUAACAACUUUAUUAAUAAUAUAGAUGGUAGUUUUUUCAAUGCUAACAGUAAUAAUAGUACAUUUACAUUUGGU
ensembl:lncRNA